CAGUCGCCGCGGUAAUACGAAGGGUGCAAGCGUUAAUCGGAAUUACUGGGCGUAAGGCGAGCGCAGGCGGUUCGCUAAGACAGAUGUGAAAUCCCCGGGCUUAACCUGGGAACUGCAUUUGUGACUGGCGGGCUAGAGUAUGGCAGAGGGGGGUGGAAUUCCGCGUGUAGCAGUGAAGUGCGUAGAUAUGCGGAGGAACACCGAUGGCGAAGGCAGCCCCCUGGGCCAACACUGACGCUCAUGCACGAAAGCGUGGGGAGCAAACAGGAUUAGAUACCCGAGUAGUCCCUGUCUCUUAUAA
rnacentral:rRNA from 1 species